rnacentral:lncRNA from 1 species
GUUAACUCUAAAUACUCCCCUAAUAAUACUGAAACGUGGAUCCACGAUUUUGAAAAGCAAAUGAUAUAUUUUUUCUUUUUCUUUCCCAGGGGCCCCUUUCUUGUUGGCUGAUCAGCGUUUUUUUAAUCUGUUGUAAAAAGACACUAAAGGCUUGUGUUAAUGACAUGCAAAUAUUCUUUAAAUAUUCUUCAUACUCAUUGUAAUAUCACACAUCAACUUAUAGCACAGAAAACAUGUAGCAGAUAUCCAGCAGACAUGCCAAUACAAAAAGCAUAUUCAUGGACAGGCAAUUAACUCAAUCCAAAAUAAAUUAAUAAAUGUCACACUAUGUGACGGACAUAAUUUGGUUCUCAUAUUUGUGCAUUAUGCAUGUCUGCAAACAAUGCAAGCAGUACUGCUUUAAGAUUAGAUCAGAGCACCUGGCAAC